AUACGUAGGGGGCAAGCGUUAUCCGGAUUUACUGGGUGUAAAGGGAGCGUAGACGGUUCUGCAAGUCUGGAGUGAAAGCCCGGGGCUCAACCCCGGGACUGCUUUGGAAACUGUGGAACUGGAGUGCAGGAGAGGUAAGUGGAAUUCCUAGUGUAGCGGUGGAAUGCGUAGAUAUUAGGAGGAACACCAGUGGCGAAGGCGGCUUACUGGACGGUGUCUGACGCUGAGGCGCGAAAGCCAGGGGAGC
rnacentral:rRNA from 1 species